rnacentral:lncRNA from 1 species
GUGGUGGUUAUAAUUCUAGACUAAAUAUGUCCAAUCAUCUAAACUAACAAUCCAAUCACACAAUGCACACCGCCACCCAACACGACGACUCGUGGAGGCAGAGGGCGGCAGCCACCACCUCACGAUGGUGGUGGUGGGUUGUUUCCUUGAUUAAUCUGGCCAAAUAAUACAUCAUACACAUAAUAUCCAAAAGAACACACACACAUAUACACACACUCCCAUCCACCCUUGUGGCAGCAGGUGGUGGUCGGAGGUGAUAGCCACCACCUCACGGUGGUGGUGAUGGCUUUUCUUCAGUUUUCGGGCCACCCAUCGCAUACUCUCAAUAUACACGAUCUGCAACAGCAACACAUACGCCUACCAAUGCUAAUAUGAGCGAAACCACCCACCUGGUGGUGUGCAACGGUCGGAGAGCAUCAGUCACGGCGAAACAGCCGCAUGGCGGCAGACGACGAGACACAUCGAUAGCGACGAAGAGAUGGAGUUGGGGGUUGUGCCAUCAAUGGUGAGAGAAAUGGCGGGUAUAUUUAGCGUUCAACUGGUCUCCCCACAACCACAGCGUUGGCCUCGGUGGUUUUUUCCUGCCUAUACACGAAGUCCGGUGGCAGUAGCUGUUGAGGAGGCGCCGACAACAAGAUAGCAGGUGGAGGAAUGACAAUGAAUGCAGCAGGGAAUGAAGGUCGUGCCUCCACCGGAAAAUGACCACAACGUCAUGACACCCAGUUCAUCCGACCUUCAUGGUGGUUGUAGUUUUGUCCUUGACUUUGCCAGCGACAAUAGAGAUGGUGGUGCAAGCAACGACGUGGGGGUGAUGGUUGAGAGGACUCCGAAAGGAUGGUGGCGGCUGAAGAAUGCCGCUAGGGUUAGGGUUACCUGAUACUUAUAUAUGAAGGCUACAUAUGAGGGUGACGGUUUUAUGCCCGUCAAUUUUAAAACUUGACUCAUAGUUACAAAUCCUACCCCUCCCUCUCAAUUCUUUUUAAAUCCACUCCAUAAAUUACCAUUCAGCCCUCAACAUUCCAAAACCUUUUCAAUUUAAGUCCAAUAGUUACCAAACACUCCUUGACUUCUGAAAGUCUUUACAAAACCAAUCCGGAACUUGCACUUUUAACCCCCCCAAAAUCCAAAUUAUAUCAUUAGACUCCCUGAAACCAACACCCCGCGAAAUAUUAAGGAUUUAGGGUUACAAUAAAAUAAUAUGAUUUAUGUUUCGGGGUUAAGAGUUUACUAUUUAUUUACUUAUUUAAUUAAAUUUCAAACAAAAUGUUACAAGAAUGGGAGAAGUGGUUUGCAUGGGCUGAAGUUUUGAUUAUUAUCCUCCGGAUAGAAUCUUCGAUUUAGGUAGGGAUGUCAAAAAGUCCCGUGGGACCCCGAUCCCGCGGGGGCCCCGUCCCGUAUGGGGACAUUUGUUGAAAAAAAUCGGGGACGGGGGCGGGGGUUGGUAGUCCCGUCCCGAAACCCCCGUGGGGGCCCCGUUAAUAAAUUAUAUAAAUUGACAUAUGUUAAUUAUAUAAGUAUAAUAAAAAAACAAAAUGAUUUUUAGGUACAAAAAUUCAACAAAAACAUGUUUUUAAGUUGUUUGUAACAUGUAUUAUAAAUAUCUAUUUGUUAUCCAAAAAAUAGUUUCUUUCAGCCCAAACAAGAACUUAUUUUAGCCCAAAUAAGUUAGCCCAAAAUCAAUCGGGGGCGGGGGAACGNNNNNNNNNNNNNNNNNNNNNNNNNNNNNNNNNNNNNNNNNNNNNNNNNNNNNNNNNNNNNNNNNNNNNAACGAGAAAAUUUUGGGGGCGGGGGCGGGGGAUGCAAUCCCCAUCCCGUUUGCCCCCGUUGACAUCCCUAGAUUUAGGUUUCGGUUGCCUUGGGAAGAUUAUUUUGUGCACAAAAUUUUCCUUUAUGUUCAUCAGGUCGGCUGUUUUGAUAUGAGUGUUAUCAAGGAGCGAUUUCGAGGACGAAAUCUAAUUUAAGUAAGGGAGAGUUGUAACACCCGGGAUCUAGAAGGUCAAUUGUGGAAUGAUGCCAAAUUCAAGUUGAACUUGGCGAGAUGGAGGAGCCAAUUCGGCGAGUUGAAUAUGAAGAAUCAUGGGAUUUAGUGGGUCUACUCAAUGACUUAAGGAGCCUCAACUCGGCGAGUAGAAGUUAGCUUGACCGCGAAGUUUAUUAAGGCAACUCGACGAGUUAAGGAGCCUUAACUCGGCGGGUUGGCCUCUCAGAAGGAAACCCUAAUUUUCAGGGUUUGCACCCUAUUUAAAGGCCUUAAACUUCCUUAACCAACCUCCUUAUCAGCCUCCUUGUCCUCCUAAAACCCUAAAUCGAGUUGUGAGCCUCUUGUUGGGAAUCUUGCGGUUUGGGGUGGAUUUUUGUGUGCUUUUGGUGCUUGGUGAAGGUUUGGAAGAGCUUGAAGUUGUUUAGCUUGGAGGGAAGCUUUGGGAUCCAGAAUCUAUCACACUUUUGGCAACCAUUUGAGGUAAAAAGUUAGGAACUUGGUGAUUAAUAGCUUAGAUCUUCUCAUUUGGGUUUUAAUGUGAUUUUGGCCUUGUUUUUUAGUUUAUGGAUAAGAUAGCUGUUGUAAAGGUUCAUCCUUUCAAACCUGAGAUUGUUUUGCUACCCUUGAGCUUAAAGGUGCAAACUUUAGGAGGAUCUUGAUGUCAUACAUGCAUUAAGUCGAGUGUUAAGUUCAUUUGAAGCUUAAUAGCUUCAUCUAGACAUGCAUGGACAUAAAGUUAGCAACUUUACGUGGUUUUCCAGCUCAAGGAAGUCAGAUAUAUGCUUUGUAGCCAUGCCUUUAUGGAUUAGGUGCUUGAUGAAUUAAGCUGCUGGACUUUAAGCGGACUCGGCAAGUUUAUGGGUAAACUCGACGAUUUGACUUGGUUUUUCUCGAUCUAUGCAAAUUUAUGGACAAACUCGAUGAAUUGAAGGACAACUCGACGAGUUGGGUCAACUUGGACCGUUGACUUUGACUUUCGAUUCAUGCCCUUGACCAAGUUUGUCCCGAGGGGUGUUUGUGAUAACUUGAUGUGGAUUUAAGGAAAAUAUGGGCUUAAGAUAAGAUCCAUAUGGGGUUGGGCCCAAUUUGGAAAAUUGGGCCAUUAGUGAGCCAUUAUGGAUCUUUUGGUUUUGGGCCUCAGUUUUGGUGCAUGUUGGGUCAGGGGUAAAAUGGUCAUUUUACCCCAAUUAUGGAUUAUGGCAUGGAACCCAAUUGCUAAUUGGGUGUGUUCAUUGCUAUUAAUAGCUCGAAAGUCGGCAGUGUAACAAUUAAGGACUUUCUUUCGGGGAGCUUCUGCAUUUGAGGUGAGUCUUCCUCACUAUACUUUCGGGUUAAAGGCACUAAGGCCGUCCCAUUGGUUUCAUAACCUGAUAUUGCUGAUAUGCUAAGUAUGUUAUAGUUAUGCAUGUUAGUCUUGCUAUGCUAGUAUGGUAGAUCUGUAGGACUAAUUGUGAAUUGUAUGUUUAUCUGUUUAUGAUAUUAUCUAUUAUAUGUCGACAUAUUAUGUGGGUGCAGUUGAGGUUCUACUGCUUUAUGUUGUAGCCAACAAACCCUGGAGUAUGCCAGAUAUGAUUUGAGGACCAGGGAGGGCAUUCCAUACUCAUACUGAUGACUCAUUAGCAUUUCAGAUACGAGCUAAGGACCGGGUGGUAUGCCAGACUCGUACUGAGGGCUACUUAUUGGUAUUCAUAUCCAAGGACUGAGGGAACAAGCCAGACAUAAGCUGUGGGCCCAAGGGCAAGCCAGACUUGUGUUGUGGUCUCGGGAGGAAGCCAAAUACGAGUUGUGGGCCUGAUAGGCAAGUCAGACUAAUAUUGUGGGCUCACGGGGUAAUCCAGUCUUUUAGCUGUGGACCCAAUACAUGUUGUUAUUUGUUUCUGUUAUCUGUUUGGGUGUUGGUACUUUGUGGGAAACUCACUAAGCUUCGUGCUUAUAGUUUGGUUUAUGGUUUUAGGUACAUCAGUGGAUCGUGGCAAGGUGAAGGCGUGACCGUACACAUCCUAGCGUUUUGGACUUAUGAUUUUCUGGAAAACUCUAAUAAUGUGAAUGUUUUGAAAACUAUGUUGAAAGAGAUUCUUAUUUUUAAAUAAUUUUUUGGGAACAAUGGUUUUCGUAAACACUUCAAUAGAAAAAGGGUUGUUUUGAAAAGUUUAAAUUUUAUUGAAAUUAAUUUUUGGGAUGUUACAAACACCACCCUUUCACCACCACAUACCACCACCAACAUCCACAUUGUUUUUCUGUUUUCAUCGACACAACAACCCCUAAACAUUCUCUUGAUCACCAUCAUUAGUUGCCCUCCCUUCCCUCUUUUCCCCUUAUUGAGUUCUGCCAAGAAGGAACAAAGAAAAUGGGGCAACAACCUUGUUGCCACCAUCGAGCAACUCACCACCACCGUGUGACAUUAUUGUUGCUGCCUCCCUCUAUUGUAAGCCACCCUUCUCAUUACCUUAAUUAUCUGUUUAUUUUGUUUUUGUUCCUUCGAUCGCGAAAAAAAUAAAAAUAAAUAAAUAACCUGCUGAACACCAUUCAUUAUGUUUACAUGCAGGAAGACUUCGAUCACAGGAGGUGAUCAAGUCUUCUACUAUUCAAACUUCAUAUUAUUUGUUUAAAACUACCCCUUCUCUCAAAAAUUCUUUUCAAAUCAAGUCAAAAUGUCCCAAACUCUCAUUCCAAAAUAAUUCCCACCCCCUCUUCUAAAAUUAUUUUCAAAACAAAUCCCAAACACCUCAACUUUUAUUUCAAAUAAAUUCUGAAACCCUCUCCUUGACAAAUUCUUACAAAAUAAGUCCUAACUCCUUAAACUUUAAUUCCAAGUAUUUAAAUAAACCCUUCCCAUGGAAAUUGUUUACAAAAUAAAUCCAAAACCCCAAAGUAUGAUUUAAAUAAACCAUUUUAGUCCCUCAGUUGGAAAUGUUUAACAAAAUCGGUCUUAUUCAAUUUAUUUAUUUUAACAACUCAACCUUAUAGUUUGAUUAUUUUACCAAACCAACCCCAUACUUAGUAAUUAAUACCAAAUAUAUCAUUUGGUUAAAUAUGUAACUAAAUUAAUCCCGACGGUUCAUUUUAGAAGCGACACAUUUUGGUUUUUCACAUCAAAUAUGUAACAACCCAAUUUCCACGCCCAAAAAUUUCAUUUUUAAUUAAACACUUUGCAAAACAUUUGUAAAUAAAACAUUGUCUAAACAAAUCAUUUCGCAUCCCUACAUCGUGUUUGAAAACCAAAAUACGAAAUCAACCAAAAGUCAAAGUACAAAUCCCAGAACAGUCUUGGAAGGCGGAAAAACAGUGUGUGUGUGUGUGUAUGAUGUGCCGCUACCGCGCCAACCCCUUCCCCUUCGAAGAAGAGGUACCUGAAACCAAAACUGAAAACUGUAAGCACGAAGCUUAGUGAGUUCCCCCACUGUACCAUAUACCAUAUAACCACAUAACAUACAUAUAUUGUCAUGCAUAUUUGGGUGCCCGACCUACCCCUUCGGUCCUCUCAACCGGAUACUGACUAGCAUAUCUGGGUACUGGUCUCCCCUUCGGUCCUCUCGAUCGGAUGCUGACUAGCAUAUCUGGGUGCUGGUCUCCCCUUCGGUCCUCUCGACCGAAUGCUGACUAGCAUACCUAGGUGCUGGUCUCCCCUUCGGUCCUCUCGACCGGAUGCUGGGGACUAUUUCACCCCCUACUACUACCACAUAACACAUAUCACGUAAUCUAUGUAGCAUGACUGGGCAUGACUGCCCCUUCGGCCCUAUCGACCGGUAAUCUGGGGACUAUCUCCCCUACUGUCACUAGCACAUAGCAUCAUAUCAUACUACCACAUAAACAUAUCACAGGUAGUAGCAACCCUAGAUGAAUAUCACAGAGACAAUCAUCUAAUCAUACAACUCCUACUGGUGGGCCGACAUUGUGGCCGUAGACCCACUGCUACUGGAAGGUAACUCACCUCGAAAAGUAGCUGCUGAAAGUCUGCUUGCUAAGCGCCUGACUGUUGAACCGGUAAUCCUCCGGCUAUAAAUCAUAAACAUAGAUUAGCCACUCAUAAAUACACUUAGGUCAGAUGACUGACCCACCCCUGGUCCAAGGUGAACUCCUUGGUCAAAUCCAACUUCUAGUUGACUAGACUCACCGAGUCAUGGCACAGACUCGCUGAGUCCUUCUCCUACUACCCUGGUCCUACUCGAAAAGUCCCUCUUCUCACUCACUGAGUCACCCUUAACUCACUACUUGGGACGAUAGAACCGACUCGCGAUCCGACUCGCCGAGUCCAAGAACAACUCGUCGAGUCCCCACGAGCAGAUCUCCUACUCGCUUUCAAAUCCUCACCAGAGCAUCCUUUAUGAGGAUUUGGGUUUCUGGGACUAUUGCUACACGUUAAAUUGCUAAUUCUGCGUGCAGAUACAAUGGGUUGGACCUUCAACACCUAAACCCCUCUUACUCAGUAACAACUCAUAUGACUCGCCGAGUUUGAAGAACAACUCGUCGAGUUCCAGGCAAUCUUUAUAGGACUCGCCGAGUUGUUCAUCCAACUCGCCGAGUCUAAGACCAUCUUCAUAGAACUCACCGAGUUCCACUUUGGGACUCGCCGAGUCCCUUCGACCCACUUCCCAUACAGACCAAAUCUGAGACAUGCAACGCUUCUAAACCAUAGAUCUAUGUUCCUAGGGCAUGCUUAUAACGUAAAGUUGCAAACUUUACGUGCAUGCAUGACCCUAUAAGCUCCAAAAGGCAAAUCCAAGCUCUUUAUGAGGUCAUGCACUUAAUAGGGACCUCAAUCACUUCAACCAUAAAGACUUUAUACUUCUAAUAUGUCCAUAAGGUCUAGAUCUGAAGUCCUUUCGGAUCAUAGAGCACAACACAUGGAGUUUGGUGUUUUAGGGCUUGAAAACCACCAAUUAGGGACAAAAGGGGAUCUAAUGAACUAGUGAUCAAGGUAAGGACUUUUCUACCUGAAUGGAAGCCUCUUGCAGGGUAGAUGUCGAAUCUACUUCCCCUUCUUGCACUCUUCCACCCCCUUUUUCUUCUCUUAAGCUUCAAACUUCCUUCAAAAGGCCAAAAUCACUCACAAGGACAAAAAGGGGCUAGGGUUUUGCUCUACAGCUCUUCUGGAAGUGUUAGGGACAAGGGAGGCCGAGUUAGAGUGUUUAAAUAGGGUGCAAACACCUGGGUUAGGGUUUUUGCCCAAAUAGGGCCUACUCGCCGAGUCCGGGAACUGACUCGCCGAGUCUAAAGCUUAGACCCCGUGUCUCGUCCCGCUUCUACUCGGCGAGUUGGUCCUUCAACUCGCCGAGUCCAAGGAAAAAUGCAUUAUUUAAGAAAUAUUAAUUACAAGGAAUACGUACCAGGAACCAGGUGCUACAAAAUACUCGAAACAAAUCAACAACUACAGUUAAGGUGAGUGUUACGGCCCCUCUUUUAUAUAUUUUUGGGGGAGAAUACAAUACUACUUAUGCUAGAUAAUACAAAAAUACACAUAAAAUUUUAUUAUUUUAUGUAAAAACUAUAACUAGUUUAUAAAAUAUUGGUUUGACAUAUAUAUAUAUAUNUAUAUAUAUAUAUAUAUAUAUAUAUAUAUAUAUAUAUAUGUCAUGAACACAACUAGUUUUAAACAUCAAUAUUUAUAUAUGUUGUGUUGUUCAAAUAAUACAACUAAUAAUAAUAACAUAUGUCAUUUUACUACAAAACCCUAUGAUUUUGUGCGACAUCGUAUGUCAUAAAAAGUGGGUCAUAAAACUUUGUAGUAUUUCAAGAAUUCAAACUAUUACCAAGCAUGAAUAUUUAUAAAGUUUAUACAUGAACAUUACUUAAUACAUACCUCUUUAUAAAAGCUAGUACUUUACAAUAUACAUAUAUGCCGGAUAUACUCGACAUUUAUAAACUCUAUACAAAUUCAUUAUGCCUAGUAACUUAUCCAUUUAUAAGUUAGGGCUGAGAGCUAUUCACAUACCUUAGUUAAUGGCUUUUUAGUAAGACUAUAUUCAUUAGCUAAGUCUAAACGCUUAGCAUACCCACACUACUAUAACCGUUAAUCUUCAGAGAGAGAUAUGUAUGUAUAGAUCUAUACGGGGUUGACAUCCCCACAUGCGGUUGCUAGCUAUAACAUCGACCAAUCAAUCGAAGCGGGUGAUAAGUGUCUACUAUCGUUAGUAUGACAUUCAAUGAAGCGUUGUAGCAGGGUACAUUCAGUCACAUAGCUCGUUAUAGAACUCACUAUAAACAUUAACACAAAACUCUCUCUCUCUCUCUCUCCCUCCCUCUCUCUCUCUCUCUCUUACUACAACUAAUAAACUUAUUCUUUCAAAACCGUUUUAAGCAUGAAUUUAGUUAUAUCAAGACACCUUUUGGUUUUUUAAAGUUUAUUUAAAUAUGGUUUACUUAUAAAAAAAAUCUUUUUGAACGCUUUUAAAAGUAUCAUUACUAUUGUCGUUAAAAAACUUAUAACUCUCAGUAACCUUGUGUUGAACCUCAAAACAAAUGUAAUCUCAGGAAAUCAGAAUUCAAGCAUUUAGACCACGAAUACUCAUGGAUCUCAGACAAUCUAGCUUACUAGUUUUUGUUAUGUUUGCCUACUUGUUAAAGCAAUUCAUGUACUAUUAUUAUCUUUAAGAACCUUGUAUUCAAACUCAAUAUGGAAUACAAAUGCUAUUUUGUUUAUCGUUGUACUUGUGUUGUAUAUUCACUUUAUCUGUGAUCCAUGAACUUAGUCGCACAACCCGACAUGUUCUGCCGCCUCGGCUGGGGGUGUGAUAUUCCCCUUCAUAACUUGAGGUCACAUGUUAGAGUUUAGGCAUCAAUGUUUUGUUUCAGAUUUUUGCAAUUUAUUUCUUAAUACGAUGAAACUCAUGACAAUCUCACCCUUAUAUAAUCCAUUUAUCUUCCUCCCCUUUUCAUUCUAAGUUUUGAGCGUACCACAUCUUUUGUGGUAUGAAACUCAUGUAUAUCUCAUAUUUCUGUAUAGGAUUUGUCAUAUUCUUAAGUCUUAGAAGUUUGUUUAGUCACAACUUAACCUUUGGUUAAAUGGUGACUUUGUGGCUAAGUUUAAAGUCUCGUGGUUUAAAAUCGAUGAACCCGAAACCGAACCGGUAAAAACGAGAAACUGAACCCAAUGGUUUCAGUUUAGGUUUAAUUUUUUGAAACUAAAACUUAUUGGUUUAGAUUUCGUUUUAGAUCAAAACCGAUCCAUGCUCACCCCUAUUUGAUUCUUGAAUUCCUUAAGAAUGAGUCAAUGGUGAAAAAAAAAAUAGUAUAACCAUACAAAACGUAGAUAGUUAGAUGAUUAGAUGACAUUUUCUUAAAGUAAAAGGGCCACCUUGAAAAUUUGAGAAAUUUAAUAUUGUGAGUCACACAAGACGAUUAGGCAAUAAUAUAUAAUAUCGCAUCGUUUAAAUACUUAUAAUACACUCGAGCUUUCAUGGAAAUAAAAUAUAGGAUGGUUUACAUAACUUAUUUGUGCAAAUGAUGGAAAACAAAGGAUUAAUAUACUAGUAGGAGGUACCAAUCAUUUUCUUUUAAUAAUCAAUGUUUUAAAUAACGUAAGGCGUAACUUUGUGACAAUGUUAAGCCUCAAGUUUUUUUAAGUCGUGACGNNNNNNNNNNNNNNNNNNNNNNNNNNNNNNNNNNNAUAUAUAUAUAUAUAUAUAUAUAUACUCUAUUAUUAUUCAUUUUUAUAUAUAUAUGUGACUUAAGGCGAUAUUUUGUCAAAGUUUGGCGGCAAGUACAAACCUUAGAGUCAUAGCGAGCUAUGACGAGCUUUUUAGAAUAUUAUAAUAAUAUUUGUAUCGCUAGUUCGCUAUAUUAGUUUGUAUGUUCCAUGUAAUAUACUUUGUUUUAGAUAAAUUUCUUCAUUUUAUAAAUAAUAUGAUAGAUAGAAAGAUCAAAUUACGUAUUAAUAUUAAGGUGUGUUUCACAUGGAGUUUUUGAAGGCUUUUACAAAAACACUUGAAAAAAAAGUUUCGUACUUUUGCAAAAAUAAAAACUACAAAGUAGUCAACCCCAUUCUAAAUUUAUAAUUUUACACCUAUAAAAAAUGAGAAAUUAAUUAUCAUCAUACCUUUUAUUCCUACAAAUCAUCCUAUUCAUUUAAAUAAUGACAUGUGUCAUAUUACUAUCUUAAAAUACCUUUAAAUUUUAUUAAAUAAACAUUAAAUGUUAGAUAUGUCACCAUUUAAUUGGAUAGGAUGAUAAUGAUAUGUAUGAACAAAAUGAACUUUCUCAUCAAACCCGCUCAAGGUUUUUAGCAUAAAAGUAGGAAAUAAUUGAGGGGUAAAAACCUUAGAUAUGCAUGUUCCGCUUUCCAAAAAUCAAUUUAAAAAUUUCUAAUUCAUUCAUUAUUUUUUUAGAAUAAUAAGAUAUAAAUAUUUUAUUAUACAAUUUUAUUGUAUGAUAUCCUUUUGGCUUUUGUUACUGAAAAUUGAAUAUGUAAUUUUAUAUUACGUACAUAUCUAAAUCCACGGGAAGUUAUGACUGGAUGAUGACUAGAUGAGUUUAAUUAAUGCUAAGAUCAUUCAUUUUAGUCCCAACUAUCACAACUCUUUUCCACAAUUUAAUCAUGCAUCCAUCGAAAAAUUCUAUUGCUCAAUGCUUGAUACUUAGGUUAAGUUUUAGUUGAAAAGUUAAAAUGUGUUCGAUCGAGGAAAAUGAUUUUCAUUUUUUAGAAAACGUAUUCAGAAAAUAGAGUUGAGUUUCAUUUUUAGUUUUCAAUAAACAUUUUAAAAAACGUAUUUGGUUGAAACUGGUAGAGUUUUCAAUUUUCAUUUUAGAAAUUUAUGAUGUAUUUAGUUGUAGAAAAGUGUUUUUAUUUUCCAAUAAAAUGUUUUCUAGAAAAUGGAGUUUAGUUUUAUUUUAAUUUUCAAUGAAAAUUUUAGAAAAAUGCAUUUUGUUAGAACCGAUGGACUUUUUAUUUUUCCAUCUUAGAAAUUUAGAAAAUUUUAGAAAACUGUAAAAAUUAUUUUGCUAAUUUACAGACAAUUUGGAAAACAUAAAAUUUUUAUUUUUCUCAGAAAAUUUUUGAAACCAAAUCAACCAAACGCGUUUUCAAAAUUUUCAUUUUCAUUUGAAAAUUUCAUGGAGAACUAGAAAAUUUUCCGCAACCAAACAGACUUGAAAAUUUCAUAAAAAUCAUUUUUUUUAAUUUACAUACAAAUUGGAAACUAAAAAAUUUCAUUUUCUUGAAAACUAAAUCAAUCAAAUGCGUUUUCAAAAUUUUCAUAAAAAACUAAAAAAUUUCUUACAACCAAACAUAGUUAAAAAAUGUUUAUUUAAAAGUUUAGCCGUCAAAUUAUUCAUUAGGUGAUUAAAAUAUGAUGUUUAAUAAUAAAUUAGUUAAGAAUAUAAAAUGACGUGUAAAAUUUCAUGUAUACACGAUGAAAAAUGUUAUGUUACUGUUUGAAGAAUUUUUAUAUGAAUUAUGCACGUACUUGUUAUCUGUUUGAAGAAUUUUUACAUGAAUUAUGCAGUUACUUGUUAUAUUAUGCAUAUGCAAGCAUGUUGAAGGAACAUUCAUCUUGAUAUAUAUGAAUUUCUCAAAUCAUUUAUACGUAUAAUCGAUGUAUCUUUUUAUGCCCUUUAUUUUUCUUCAAAUUUACCAAUUUAACCUUAGCAAUUUUUAAAAUUAGGAGGACGUGAAGUACACACGUGUUUGUGGAAAAUCAGAUAGAAUUCGAAGGAUUCAUACAUUUGUUGGAUAAUUUCCUAUUCCCAAAUAUUGUAUCGAUGGUAUAAAUAACACUCCUCAUUCUGAAGCACAAAUGGGAAUAGCAACGAUCCGCAGCAGGCCCACUAAUAUUCAUUGCUUCCCAACUUUAAUUUUCACUUCUACUUUUGUGAUUCCGCACAAAAUUCCAAAACUCCUCAAGAAUCCCUACUCUAUUUCAUGCAAUUCCGAUAAUUUUCUCAGGUACCCGUUUAUAUCGUCAUUUACUUUCCUUGAGAUCUUAAGUUUAGUUUCUUUGAUAAAAUUUUGCCCCAAAAGCAUUGAUCUUGAGUUUAGUGUCCUGGAUAUACGAUUGUUCUGAAUGCCAUGCUCAGGCCUUUUACUCUACCAUUUCAAAGCAACAACAACAAUAGUUGUGAAGUUGUGAAAUGAUAUUUAAGUUAUUAUUAUUAUUUGUUUUUUUAGCAACUAAAAAGAGUGAGAUUACAAAGUCAAAUAUCGAGAUCAAAGACUGAGUUGAUUAUAGCAUACGAUCAAACUGAAAACCUAGUUGUUUUGCAGAAAUAACAAUAAGAGUACUACAAUAAGGAGAAUCUUAGCAGAGUCUAAGAUGGGAGAGAGUGCAGGGACAUCUGCGACUGCGAGUCCCAUGGUAUUUGAACCGAUUCUGGAAGAAGGUGUUUUCAGGUUUGAUUCUUCUGCUGAUGCUAGAAACGAAGCAUUUCCCAGUCUUUCUUUUGUUAAUCAGAAAGACAGGGACACACCCAUUAUGAGUAAUCACAAAAUCCCAUCCUACAUCCCAACUUCUGAAUAUGUUUCAGGUCAACAAGUUGUCUCUUUUGAGGUCAGUUUUAUCUUCCUGAAAUUCCAUAUACUUUGCGAAAUUCUUGCUAUGAUUAAUUACAUCUCACUAACACUCACGAAUAUGGUAAUUAGCUUCCUGCAGGAACCUCAUUUUAUGGAACAGGUGAAGUUAGUGGACAGCUUGAAAGAACAGGAAAAAGGGUUGGUUUCUAAUUUUUUUUUAUCAUAACAAAUAUUUGGAGUCUCAUAACAAACGCAAUAAACACAGGUUUUUACUUGGAAUACUGAUGCAUGGGGGUAUGGGAGUGGAACUACAUCCUUAUAUCAAUCACAUCCAUGGGUUCUAGCCAUUCUUCCUAAUGGAGAAGCAUUAGGAUUUCUUGCUGAUACAACAAAACGCUGUGAGGUGCUCAAAACUCCUAUAACUUAUGUCAUUUUUCUUUUCCAUUUUGUGAAGGAUUUUGCAUUUAGCCAUUUUCUUUUUGGAAUACAUUUAACAGAUUGAUCUGCGUAAAGAAUCAACAGCAAAGCUUAUUGCCCCAUCGCCUUUUCCUGUGGUGACAUUUGGUCCAUUUGCUUCAGUAAACAAUGUUUUGACAUCAUUAUCACAUGCAAUUGGUAAUUUCCUGAAAACCAUAAUGAAGUUUUACAUCUCUUCCAAAUACUUUUAUUUUGAAGAUCCUCUAUUUCUAUUAAUAGGAACUGUUUUCAUGCCACCAAAGUGGUCAUUGGGAUAUCAACAAUGCCGAUGGAGCUAUGACUCUGAUUUGAGGGUUCGUGAGGUAUGUUAAAGUUUUUCACACAUUCAAGAUUUCUUAUUCUGAAUGUAUGAUUUCACCAUAUUGGUUUUUACUUUUUACUGUGUAGAUUGCCAAGACAUUUCGGGAUAAAGGUAUACCUUGUGAUGUCAUAUGGAUGGACAUUGACUACAUGGAUGGAUUUCGUUGUUUCACCUUUGACCAAGUAUGUUAAAUGGAUAUUGACUCUUAAAGUGAAGUUCCUCAUUCAUCAAUCAUCAAUCUUUUUUUAUUGCUCUUAGGAGACUUUUCCUAAUCCAAAAUCUCUAGUGGAUGAGCUUCAUCAUAUGGGUUUCAAGGCUAUCUGGAUGCUUGACCCUGGGAUAAAGCAUGAAAAGGGUUACUCUGUAUAUGAAAGUGGAUCAGAAAAAGACAUAUGGGUUCAGACAAAAGAUGGAAACCCCUUUGUUGGUAUGUCCAUCUCUAUGAAAUAUGAAUUGUAUCUAAUCUUCAACUGUUUUCAAAACGAUUCUCAUAAGUUUCAUUUCCCAUUUUCAUAACAGGAGAGGUAUGGCCUGGAGCUUGUGUUUUCCCUGAUUUUACUCAAGAAAAAGCUCGUUCUUGGUGGGCUAAUUUAGUCAAAGAUUUUAUAUCUAAUGGUGUGGAUGGCAUAUGGAAUGACAUGAAUGAACCAGCUGUUUUCAAGGUCAAGUUUACACCUUUUUCCUUUUUUCAUAAUCUUUCUGAUCUAUUAUCAUUAUCAUUAUCAUUAUUAUUAUUUCAUCUCACUAGAUUUAUUAUCCUUUCUCCAGUCUAUUACAAAAACAAUGCCUGAAAGUAACAUUCAUAGGGGGGAUGAUGAACUUGGUGGUCAUCAAAAUCACUUGCACUAUCACAAUGUAAGCUACUUUAUUCAGUUAUUACUCUAAUUNNNNNNNNNNNNNNNNNNNUAUAUAUAUAUAUGUAUAUGAUUCAGAACUUUUAGUAAUGUAGUUUAUGAUUUAGGUUUAUGGAAUGCUAAUGGCAAGAUCAACAUAUGAAGGCAUGAAAUUAGCCAAUCCAAAUAAACGCCCAUUUGUUCUUACACGAGCUGGCUUUAUAGGUAGUCAGAGGUAUGCUGCCACGUGGACAGGAGACAAUCUAUCUACAUGGGAACAUUUACAUAUGAGCAUCUCUAUGGUACUACAACUGGUAAGUAAGCUUCUAGAAUACAUAAUCUGUUAUUAUUUCCUACAAUUAGUAUUUAAUGUUACUAAUAUUAUUUCAGGGGCUUAGUGGUCAACCGCUUUCAGGACCUGAUAUUGGUGGAUUUGCAGGGAAUGCAACACCCAAAUUAUUUGGAAGGUGGUUUGGUAUUGGUGCCAUGUUUCCAUUUUGUCGAGGACAUUCUGAGAAGGGAACUGUUGACCAUGAGCCUUGGUCAUUUGGGGAAGAGGUAAUCAAUCCCUUUUCUUUUUUAUUAAAUUUUAAAUAUUUUUUAAGCUUUUUGUUCAUUAAUUAAUCUUUUUACAGUGUGAGGAAGUUUGUAGGUUGGCAUUAAAGAGGAGGUAUCGCCUUAUACCACACAUAUAUACACUUUUCUACUUGGCACAUACAAGAGGUUCUCCAGUGGUAUCUCCUACUUUUUUUGCUGGUAUGAUAAGUUUAUUUUCAUCUAUAUAUUCAUUUUAAUUUAAUUUUUCGGUUUCUUUAACUUUAUUAUCUUUUUUUUUUUUUUGUAGAUUUGAAGGAUUCCCAAUUAAGAAGAAAUGAAAAUUCGUUUCUUUUGGGCCCACUUCUUGUAUAUUGCAGCACUAUGAGUGAUCGUGGGGUGCAUCAAAUACAUCAUGCAUUGCCUAAUGGAACUUGGAUGAGUUUUGAUUUUCAAGAUUCACAUCCAGUAAGAAUUUCCUUUUUUUUUUAAAAGAAAAACAAAGACAUGUUUUAUAGUUUUCUUGAUUCUUUUUCAGGAUUUACCAGCACUAUAUCUACAAGGUGGAUCGAUCAUCCCAUAUGGUCCAGCUCAUCAACAUGUGAGUGAAGCUAAUGCAAAGGAUGAUCUGUCAUUGUUUAUUGCAUUAGAUGAAAAUGGUAAAGCUGAAGGUGUUCUCUUUGAAGAUGAUGGUGAUGGAUAUGAAUAUACAAACAAGGGUUAUCUUUUCACAACAUAUGUUGCUGAGCUCAAAUCUUCAGUUGUCACACUCAGUGUCUCCAAAACUGAAGGAUUGUGGAAAAGACCAAAUCGCCACUUACAUGUCCACCUAUUGCUCGGUGAAGGAGCUAUGGUAUAUGUUCUAUCUUUUCCUCUAUUUUUCAUUUCUCUUUUCAUAUUUAGAUUUUAAUUUUUUUUUUUUUUUUUUUUCAGGUUGAUGCAUGGGGUACUGAUGGAGAAGAUCUGAAAAUCACUCUGCCUACAGAAAAUGAAAUAUCAAAUUUAAUUUCUGCUAGCAAGAACAAUUACAAGACACUUAUGGGUAAGUAUGGUUCUAAAUACUUUACAACUAAUGUUUUUUGCUUUUUAUUUAAGUGAUUAAUUAUCUUAUUGUUUAUUUUAUUUAAUCUAAUGUGAAAUUUUCAGAAAGUGCAAAACGUAUACCAGAUGUGGAGCAGGCAUCUGGACAUAAAGGGGUUGAGCUUUCAGGAACUCCUGUUGAAGUUAAAGGUGGUGAAUGGGCUCUCAAAGUUGUCCCUUGGAUUGGGGGUCGUAUCAUAUCUAUGGAACACCUUCCUACAGGUAAAUAUAAUCUAAAAAAUAGUCAACAUUUCUCUUAAUUUGGUCAAAGUUCAAACCAUAGUCAUAUAUGUUUAUUGGGAACAGGAACUCAAUGGCUUCAUAGUCGGGUAGAAAUCAAUGGGUAUGAAGAAUAUAGUGGUACUGAAUAUCGUUCUGCUGGAUGCACCGAAGAGUAUACUGUCAUUAAGUGAGUUAAUCUUUAAUCUUUAAUCUUUUUAAGUUUAAAAAGUUACUUUUUUUAAAUAAUCAAAAUAAUAAUUGAAUUAUUUUUUUUUGUAAAGUCGGGAUCUUGAGCAAGCAGGAGAGAUAGAAUCUUUAAAAAUGGAAGGUGAUGUUGGAGGUGGAUUAGCUAUUGAAAGAAAUAUAUCUCUCUCAGAAGAUAAUCCUAAACUUUUCAAGAUUGACUCGAGUCUUUUAGCACGCAAUGUAGGUGCUGGUUCUGGAGGGUAUUCAAGGUUGGUUGGUUAUUUACCAUUUUGCCAUCUGUUCUUUUUGUAUUGAUUUAUAUAAUUUGUUAUGAGUUAUGAUCAUAUUAUGGUCAUUUUCACAGGCUUGUUUGUUUAAGAAUCCACCCAACAUUUAGUCUUUUUCACCCAACUGAGACAUAUGUCUCAUUCACCUCCAUUGAUGGAUCCAAACAUGAAGUAUGGCCGGAAUCCGGGGAGCAGCUCUAUGAGGGGCAUCUUCGUCCAAAUGGUAAUUAAACAUUUGUUUCUUAUAAAAUCUUUUUAGAUUUGAAUUUGAAAAAAAAAAAAAAAACUACUUUGGCUUGUUCUUCAGGUGAAUGGAUGUUGGCUGACAAGUGCCUUGGGUUGGGUUUAGUCAACAGAUUCAAUGUUGACCAGGUAUACAAGUGUCUUCUCCAUUGGGAUUUUGGGACUGUGAAUCUUGAGCUUUGGUCAGAAGACAGGCCAGUUUCAAAGCAGUCGCCUCUUUGUAUUUCUCACAGUUAUGAAAUUAAGAGGAUUGUAUAGUGUAGUGCUACUACUGCUUUUAUUGUUACAUUUCAAUAAUAACUGAUAUUAAAUAAAUGACAUAUCAGGCUUUAACUUUUUUAUCAAUGUAAAUAGAAAUCAACACUGUUGAGGCAAUGUAUGCUGGUGAUUGAUCAAUUGAGUUGUGUUUCUUUCAUAAAACCAGUCACUAACUACUUCAGCAAUAGCCUGCACAUGGGAUUGAAAUUAUAUCAACAUAAAUUUAAAGGUGAAAAGCAAACACAUACUUUGACUUUUAUAAGUCAAACAAGUUACCUUGUUAUCCAACUUUGAAGCAGCAUCUCCAAGCCAGUUAAUCUGAUUUCCUGAUUGGCAGUGUGAAUAACAAGAAUUGAUGAACAAUCCUCUUGAUGUGGAGUUGAAUCUGGAUUUACCCAUUCCUGACAUCAAUGUCUUUAUGAAAUCUGACCUAAAAUCUAAUAUACAGGGAAAAAAAAAACUUUAUAAGUUUUUUGAACCUAUGUUACAUUUAGGGUUUUGUUUAGAUUAGAAGAAUGACCUUGCAAUCUUUGGAGUUGGGUAGAUGAGCAGUUUGAUAUGUUUGACUUGCAUGCAGACCAUGAAUCAUGGCGAUCAGCCUUUUUUGGUGCUAAGAUGUUUUGUACCUUAAAAACAGGAUUAUAUGUAUAUAUUCACAGUUCAGACACAUGCACAUGGAAUCACACAGAAAAACCAAGAACACACAGUUGAAGAUGAUGAACCUGAUAUGCAUCGUAAGCAGUGUUUAUGACAAACAAGGGUGUCUUGAUUUCUGGCAAAAUAAAUUGUGGGUAGAAGCACUGCAAAUAAUAAUGAAACUGUUACAUCUCAUUAAGGUCAACUUUUAUAGUCUGACUUCCAAUUAAGGUCAACUUCCUGUAUAAAAUUUUAAGUUGUAUUAUACAUAGCUUACCAAGCCAGGUUUCAUCUUUGAAGUACAAGAAGAAGGAAGAUUUAUCUUUGAGUUCUACAUCCAAAAUCAAAGGUACCUUAUCAGAACUAAAUAUGAUAAGAGUGUACACACACUAGUGUUUGUGUGUGUAUGAGAGAGAGGGAGAAGAGAGAGAACAUGUAGUUUAACGAUCUUGGUGAAGAACUUCUGAAAGUGGUAUUUUCCAGAAAUGUCCUUCCUGUUAGAGAACACAAUGAAUCAGCUAUAAUGUAUCAAAAGACAAGAGUUUUUUUUUUUCUUUAUUUUUAAGUAUAAUAAAAAGAGUUGUAGAAAAAUUUAAAGGUUAGAUUCUAUACACAUGAACAAAGUAACCGGCAUCUGGAGCACAUUUGACUUGAGUAGUUGGUGGCAACAUGGCUCGAAAUUUGUCACAAUACAAUAUUGAAGCUAACCCACCAGAAGAACAACCGGUUAGAAGAGCCUGCAUGCCAAUACAAUAAGAAAUCAGUCAAUUAAAUAUUGACUGAUCGAGUGACCUGACUGGAAGAAAUUAGAAAGUACAGGGACCUAAGACAUGUAUAAAAUAAAAGUAUGUUGCAACUUAAUGACUAGAGAGAACUAGAAGCAUUUACACUUGAUGCUUUACUGAGUCCUUUUUGUAGCAGUUCCUCAAGAAUAACAUUGAAGAUCCUUGCACCUCUAUAGUGAAGAUUAGUAGCCUGACAAUUAAUUCAUGAGAAAAUUAAUAUUACAUAUGUUAUAGUUUAGUUUGUGAUGGAGAUCCAAAAUAACUUACAGGGUCAACUUUUUCUACAUCCCCAGUAAACGAUGCUCCAUCACAGUACCUCAUGAUGACUCUAUUCCAGUUGUAGAACCCUGCAAAAUUAAUUAAUUAAUCAACUUUAUUUGUACGUAGCAAAGUUAUGGUUCAUGGAUUCUAAUUUGCCAAUGAAGGUCAUUUUAUCGUAAUUUACAUUUGCCAAAACAGCAAAGGAUUAAGGAUUGGAAUUGAAUUCGGUUACAUUUUCAUUUUCAGUCAACCAAAUACAACGCUUCAUCAUGCUUAUAUAUUAUAGUUUAAUUAUGUUUUGUGUAGGUGUAGUACCUGGAUUGAACUCUGGCUUACUGCUAAAAACUCCUGUGAAAUUGAACUUUUGCAUACGUGUUGAUGAACCCACACCAUUACUCAUGUUCACGCGUAAUAAACAACUUUUUGUCGACUCACACCAUCCUCCUCCCUAACCACAUGAAAUCAAUUUCAACAUUAUACAACAUAUCGGGUUUUGCAAUUAACCCCUACAUCAAUGCAAUGCAAACUAUAUACAUUAAUUACACGUGCAUUUUAAUCAUUUUAAAAAGUUAAUUACUUAUAUCUGAAAUAGUGUGAGUAGUAAUUAACUAACCUGUAUGUGAAUUAACCACUUAUCAACACCUUCUCCGAAUCCUUUAUCAAACUGAUAUGCGGGUGGACUUCCAUCUAAACAAACUGCACCACCACCACAACAUUUUUAACAUUACCCACGAAAUGAAAAGGUUGAGAUAUAUUAAUUAGUACACUUUAAUUGUUNNNNNNNNNNNNNNNNNNNNNNNNNNNNNNNNNNNNNNNNNNNNAGAUGAUUAACCACGAAAUAAUGACAUUGAUAGUAAUUAGUACACUUUAAUUAAAGUUUGAGAAAAUAAAUGAACAUAAAUAUUUACCAGCUCCUUUGGCAAUGGCGCUCUGAAUGAAAGUCAUUUCGACAUUGUCUGAGCAUUCUGUUUCUGAAAGCAUGAUCAGUAGAAGAAUUAUUAUGCACAACCAUUGGCAUAGUCUUGUGAAUGUGAUGAUUGUCAUGGUGAGCGUUGUCCAAAAACUUCAUUCUUGCAUACCUUUUAAGAGUUGGAAAGGUUGUGUAUCUGAAUUCAAGUGGGUUAUAGUUUAAAUUAAAUAUAGGCAAAAUGUAUCGUCCAGCACUUGUAUCGAUCUCAACAAGCAUGAAACGGUUGACUAAAAUCAAUUUUGACUUUGUAUACAGUAAGUCAACACUCAAAUUAGUGAUCCAGAUCUGGAAUUCCAAAGUAAAAGUCAAGUAAAUAAAUUAAUUAAUUCUUUCCAUAUAAUAUCUACACAAACAUAUUUAAUGUCGACUCGGGCACGACGUUACCAAUCCUUUUGCCCAUGAAAUUAAUGUUUCUAAGAUUAUAUUUGAUUGCCCGUGAAACUAAUGUUUUUAAGAUUAUAUUUGAUAGACUAGUUGAAAAACUAACUUUUACCUGACAAGCUAGCUGAUAGUUANNNNNNNNNNNNNNNNNNNNNNNNNNNNNNNNNNNNNNNNNNNNNNNNNNNNNNNNNNNNNNNNNNNNNNNNNNNNNNNNNNNNUUAAAAACUAUAAUUUUACAUUAUAUAAAACAUUAUUGAACAAAAAUAUAGUUGCAAUAAACAAAAGCAAUAAUGUCGUAGUGACUUGUAAGUUGUCUAAUGCAAUUUGUUCAAGAUUAAGGUCGUCUAACCCGCAAUAAGGAAGCCAAAAUGUUAAAAAUAAUAAUAAUAAUAAUAAUAAUAAUAAAAAAAAAGGGGAUUUUUAAAUGGGUGCAAAAAGAAAGAAGCACCUUCUUGGCUUGUUCCACGAAUGUUCUCACAUUUUUAUGAUUUAAAGAAAAAGAAAAAAAAAAAACAUUUAUUAUCGCUUAAUGUUUUUUCGAUGUUCAAAAAAAAAAAAAAAAAGAAAAAAAAAAAGCCUGUUUCAAAAAAUGAAUUAUUAGGUGCAACUAACAAAAUUGCCUUAAUUAAAAUAAAACAAAAUAUCACGAAAUUCAGGAACAGAAUACAGCAUUUUCAUGAAAUACAAAACCCCUAAUAUCAGGCUCAGGGUAGGUUGAUUUAUAUAUACACCAAAAUCAAAAUUAAAAUUAAAAUUAAAAUAUAAUAUAUGUUUCUCAUCAAACAUUGUUGGAAUCACGAAGAAUUUGAACUCGCCAAACAAAGUAGCGAAUAUACAAAGCAUUCAAAGUCAUCGCUACUCCAAACCCCAAAAUCCCUGACAACAUUACCGCAUAGAUUGCCUUCAACUCAAGCUGCAACAAACAAUAUGAUUCAAUUGACCAAAACACCCUUCUAAAAUCAAAAUAAUCAUAUCACUCACCCAAGAGUAAAAUAAGUGCAGAAUCAUAGCUACAAGUGCAAAUUCAAGAGCUGCAUAAGUCCAAAUAUACUCCCUGAUUGCUGUAAAUUUGGAACAACAUUUUAACAACAUUAGAAUGAAGGGAAAUCAUGUUGCAACAUUUUAUAAAAACUUAAAAAGAUAAAUUAUACCAAGAAUAACCGAAAAUGUAGAUGACAGAAUGCCAAAUGUAAACGAGAAUGGUGCAGCAAUCACAAUAGCUUGAGUUUUCAGGUCACGAAUCUGCAGACAAAAAAAAAAAACAAAUGUUUAAAACUGGACAUGAAUACAUGAUUGAUUUAAAGGUGUCAUUAAUGGCUUACAAGAAGCUGCUCGAGGAAGAAGAAGUAGCAUAUUGUACUUAUCAAAACUAGCACCACAAAAUCCUGCCAUGCACUGAAUACACAAACAUGUAAUUCUCCAUUAAAAUUUGAAAAAUUAAUGAAGCUUAUAUAGGUUAAAAUUAGAGUUAAGUUACCUUAUUGUUCCUGAAUUCAGAUGCUGUUGAUUUUGUGGAUUCAUAUUCAUGGUUUGUCUUUGAACAUAACUUGGCAUACGAAGCAAAGUUACUGGUAAAUUUGAGACUUCACGACCACAAACAUCGCAGUUUUUGUUCCCUUUAACACUAAACCAUUUAACUGCACAUUCUUCAUGAACAAGUCUAAGCGCACCUUUGCAACUGCAUUCCAUCUUCAGUUGAUUACCUUCAUCACAUGAAUCAAAGCAGAUUCUGCAAAUCGCUUCUUCCUCAUCAAUCUCUUCAUCGUUCUCCACUUCAACAGAACCGAUUUGAUCUUCAUUUCAAACAGAAUCGUUUCAACAAAAUUGGACUAUGAAAAUCAAAUCGCAAGUGUAUACAAUCAAAAACGUACCAUUAGCACUGUCGGAUUGAUCAUUAUCCUUACGUGCUGCAAAAGAAAUUGACCUUACGAUAACGAUGUUUCGCCCAGGUACAGAGAGCGACCUUGAAACCGUCGCUUGAAUCGCCCCAAUCUGCAAACAAUUUUAUCGAUUUAUGACUGUAAACCCUAAAGCCCAAAGUUACAAACUAGCCCAAUAAACCUAAGGGGUUUAAUUUCAAUUUUAAAUCUAUAUUUUUCAGUAAUAUGAUCGAUCUUACCUGUGAUUUCUGUUGUUCGCUGUAUGUUCUUGCGGAAACGGGAGUGGUGGCUGAAGGAGAAGGGUUUGAUGAUGCGUGUUUGACUGGAAGAGAUGUGCAUCGUUUCCAGUGUAAAUUGGAGUUGGUGUUGGAGACAAGAGGGCUUACAGGUGGCGGUCCGUUUGCGUCGGAAGGAAGAAGGGAGCUACUUUCACCAUUAUGAGGAACGUGAUCCUUCUUUUUAAAGCUUAAACCUCGAAAAAUGCCCCUUGAAGAUGAAGAUGAAGAUGAAGUGCCAUUGGAGGAGAUACCAGGAGACUGGAGUGAAGCUUUUUCACGCCGAUUACUGCUAAAAUGUGCGUGUCUUGGAGGUAUGUUCAGGGACAAAUCUGAAAAACGAGUGCUUUUUCCAUAAUUUUUAACUUCAUUUGUGGAGGAUUCCUUCUCACUGGUAUCAACCUGUUGUGUUGUUAUUGAAGCAUUCAUAUUCAUAUUCAUAUUUGGGGAAGAGAAAUGGCCAUAACAACAACAACAACAAUAACAUAAAGAAAUCGAAAAAGUAUUUGACUUUUGAUGAAAACCUAGAAGUAGUCAAAGACUUUACACCUGCAUUAUUAUAUUUGCAGAAAUUAUUCAACGUUUUUUUAUGGGGUUUGCAAUCUUGUGUAAUGUAAACAACUAUAAACUUGUAUGUUGUGUAACAAUCAAGAAAUGGCAUGUACUCAUACAACAACGAGCUUGAUUGGGGUUUUUAUUUUUCAGAGAAGAAAAAUCGCCUUUAAAAACCAAGAUUUGGGAGCUAACGAGAUUCAUUACCACCCUGCUAUUCUUUCUUCACAAACCCUAAAGAAUCGAUCCUAAUUUCUCAUCCUUUUGAGAAGAACAUAGGUCAACAAGAUGUCAAACCGAACAAAUAACAACUGAGCAAGGAUUUAGCAAUUUGAGCUAAAUCUCAGUUGCCAUGAAUAACAUAAAGAGCAGAUUAUACAAAUGAGUAAGCGAUUUAAGCAUAAGGCUUACCCAGAAGUAAAAAUUACAAAACAAUCAUAAAAGCCACAAUCAAGAAGAUGACAAAAGAAGAACCUCUGAAGCAUUCCUGUCGUCUUCAUCGGCAACUGCGCUGCUAAUUUCAUGCGAUGUUUGCAUCUGAUCUUCAAUAAGCGUAGAAGCUACUCAAACAAAAGGGAUUGGAGCACUGAAUAAUUUUGAUUAUCAGUCCACCACUCCAAUUAUUCAAAUCGAUUUUGGAAUACUGUUUCUUUAAUUUCAAAAUUAUUAUGUUUUAAUGUCUUUUAGAAAUUAUUUUUAUCAAAAACAUCGAGUGGUGAAUAGAAUUGAAGCAAGCAAAUGGACAAAAUGAAUAGGAUGAUGAAUUAUUUAUGCUAGGAACGUGAAAAAACAGGUGAAAGGGAUUUUGAUUUUUGAUUGAUCCAAUUUUUUUAUUUAUGUGAAUUGGAUAUCAAAAUUUUUAUUUAUUUUACUGAAUUUAACAGAAAUCAAUAAUAUUUUUCUCUAUCUUGAUAUAAUAUAAAUUUUAGUUUAGUAAUCCCAUUAUUCAAAAAAAUUAAUUAAUAAAACAUUUGUAAACAAAAUAUGGUUGUUACUGAUAUUUUUAUGACUAAUACGUGUAAAACAAAUACAUUACUCGUUCGCUCUUGUUUACUUAAUAAUGGGUCAUUGGCAUCCUACUUUAAACUUUAAGGUUGUAUUAAUUUUUGAUGUGUCGAUGUUUGGGCAUUUGUUAAUUAUGAAUUUUAGUGUUAGUAUUAUUUUUAUAAACUAAUAUGUGUCCACUAAUCAUAUUAUAUUUUCACUUUUUUAUUAGUGUUACUUUUUACCCUCAUUUAGAUUGACUUUUAGAUUGUCCCCGCCUAAAUGUUACAUCUCUCUUUUUUUAGUAUUUGGUAUGAAAUUAUGGCAUAUAUGCAUAAAUAAUAUAAAAUCAACGUCAUAAAUGUAAAUAAUCAAAGAAAACAUUUCCGAAAGGUCCCAUUUGGACCACAAACCUAAAGAGAAUAAGUUGUCAAUAAUCAAUAUUAUUACUUAAUUGUUACGACAUAAAAAGCAUAUGUGGAAAAUUGAAUUAAUCGUUACAAAAUUGUAUGCAACAACCACAUCUCUUUUGAGUGGAAGCAUCAGUUUUUCAACUUUCAGAUUUUUUUUUUUCCGAAUUGGUAUCCAGCUUAAAAUAUUCAAACUUUACAAAAGGGUGAUUAUAAUUUAUAUGACUAAAAACAAUGUGGAGUAUGACUCUGUAAAGCAUGUAUUAAUAAAUCUGUUACGAUUUUUUGAAAAAACUAUAUGAUCUCUUUCUGAAUUUAAAUUAUUAUGUUUUGUCAAAUUCAUCAGCCUGUUUUGAAAUGACAAAUGAUUUUACCAUUCGAUACAUUAAUCUUGUUAAUGCACAAAAAUCAAAUAACUAUAAUAGAUAUUUUGUUGGGAACAACCAACACAACACUGUCCAUCAAAUAUCCAGAAACUUGUUGAUUACCAAACCGAUCAUGUUUUAUGUCCCUUCUUUUUCUAACAUGUACCAACAUAAACAAAAAUAAAUGAGACUAAAAAAUGUUACCAAAUCCUUGUCAUGAGGCAUAAUAAUCUUCUUAUUUUGAAAAAUCAAGGUUAAUUAUGUAAAUCUUUUCUUAUAGAUGUAUUAAUAUUUUGUUUGCCUCUUAAUUUCAAUUGCGUUGACCUCACCUUCCUUUUCUUACUUUCUUGUUUUCUUUCACCUUUCUUCCAAGCAAAAGAAAAUAAAUAACAAGGAAAUAAGAGGUGAAUUAUUGAUUAAGACACAUCCAUACCAUACCUAAGAAAGACAAGUCAUAAUUCAUAUUCCUAAGAUAAGCAAAUCAUAUCUUAUCUUAUGAGAAUUUAAAGUUCAGUUGAAAAGGUCUUGAACACGGUAACAUAUAAAAUUCCAAAAUUUUGACACGGUCUAUAAAUAUAAAAGUUUAAACGAGGAUAGAGUAUGAAAUAUCAAAACUAAGCUUAUAUGAGACCAAAUGUCAUGUCCCUCGAAGUGGAGAGAAUUGUUUAGAUUUCUUUUCUCAACUAUACAAAUGCCUUGAACUUAUGAAACUUAUCGGUUUUACAUCAAUGAAACCAUUUUAUUAAAUUAUUAAAAUACCCCUAAACAUUUAAAUUCGCUAUUUUGGUCAUUAGUAAAACCAUCUACAUCAAAUUGAUUAAUAAAAUCAUACAUAUCAAUACAAUAACAUCGUUUUUCAUUAUGUCAUGUUAUCAAUAAAAUCACCGGCAUCUACUAAACGGAUGCUACUAUAUUUGUCCUCUAUUUUUUGUUGUAUUUGAUUAAAAUAAGGCAAAAUUGUAAAAAUGGUUCUUGUAGUUAUAAAAAAUAUUUGGUUUUGGUCCAAAAACGUUUUGCGAUAACUUUUGGAUAUUUUUUUAGUGAUUUUGGUCUCUAUACAUUUAAAUUGACUAUAAUGUCUUUAUAAUUUAAUUUUUCAAUUUUUAAUUUUUCUAACAAUUAAAUUGUUUAACAUAGUAACCAACGGAAAGAAAAGCCUGUCUCUCUCACCGAAAACCACCUACAACAUCGAAAACCACUGUCACAAUCGUCAUUCUCUCUGACAACCACCACCCCUUUCUCGUCGGAGAUGAGUUUUUCAAAAGCCUCUCAAUCUCCGUCGUCAUCUUAAGCAUCUUCCUCUCCGUUGCCGAAUCUAAAAACCAUCAGAAGCCUCUCAAUCUCCGUCACCAGAUUUAAAGUCUCUAUCUCUCUCUCUCUCUCUCUCUCUCUCUCUCUCUCUCUCUCCCUCUCUCUGCGGAUCGAAAACCCUUCCGAGAUAUGUUCAUUUACACCGCACACCUAUAAACCCUAAUGUUGGAGUUCGGAGACGACGCUCCAACUACGAGGGUGGCGUUCCAAAUCUACACAAGAGAGAGAGAGAGAGGGUUGUUUGGCUUUUUUUCAGGAUUAUGAUGAGAAUGUCGGCGUUCCAGUAAGGAGGCGAAGGGCAGUGGUCGGUUCGUUGGUGGUGAUGGUGGUAUUCUCUUUUUGUGAGAAUAAGAAGGUGAAAUAUGACUAACGUACCAUGAGAGAAAGAGAGAAGUGGGAUCAGUAUAUUCGUCAUUUCGGGAUGAUUCUGGACCAAAAACAUACACACACAAAUAUAUAUAUAGAGAGAGAGAGAGAGAGAGAGAGAGAGCAAAACCACAUACUUUUCACAAGUAUAUGGACUAUUUUUGCAAUUUUAAUUAUAAAUAAUUAAUAUUCUAUAACACCAUUUUUUAUAAUAUUCUUUUUACCAAAUACAAUCACUCAAACACCCUAUUGUUAUUAGACAAAAUUGUAAAAAUGGUCCCUGUGGUAUGCAUUUUUUUGGGGUUUUAGUCCAAACCCCGACUUUUUUGGGUUGGUGGUCCUUUUGAGCUACUUUGCUUGCAGUUUUGGUCCCUGUCUAAACUAAAAAGACUAUUAUAUCCUUAAUGAGUUUAUUUUUCAUUUUUCUUUCACUUUUUAAUAUUAUUAUUAUUAUUAAAUAUAAAAGUGGGCCCUCUCUUUCUCUAUUUUCUCUCUCUCUCUCUCUCUCNUCUCUCUCUCUCUCUCUCUCUCUCUCUCUCUCUCUCUCUCUCUCUCGUUGAUUUUCCAGAUCAAUAACAAAACACACUCAGAUUUUUCCACGUUUGUGAAGAACUUAAACAUGAACCUUUGAAUUUUCUGCAAGCCUACUCAAGAACAAGAUAAACAAGACCAGGUGUAACAGACCAAAGAUUGACACAUCCCUUUGUGAGCCGUCGGAGUCGCCAGCCAUCUUCAUCAGUAAUCCUCAACUUUCCGGCAAGAAGGGUUUCAAGAUCUUCAGCUCCAUCUUCAACGCCGCCACCACCACUGAUCAAUACAACCACCACACCCAAAAGAUAUGCCCACAACCACCGGUCAAAUCGCCACUAGUGUUGAACCUGUUUGAAAACCCUCAGAUCUGAAAGCCGAUGUCAUCUUGAGCUCGUCAUCGUUACUAGAGACGAACCAAGAUCUGAAGAUUUAGGGUUUUUCCUCCAACACCACUUCCAUGUUCUUCCCUUCAAAAAACUUAUUUCUUCCCUAUAAAACAUUGGAUCAAACUUAAAUUCGAAGGCAAAACAAGAUCGAUGUAUCUAAACAAUGUUGUUAAUAAUUGGGGAAAAAAGAUUUAUAUAAGUAAUAUUUUGUAAAAUCGGUGUAUCUAUACAGUGGGUGUCCACCUCUGGCUCUGCUUCCACCCUCUCUCACUUCUUUCCAACAAGUUCUCAAGCUUCUCUUUGUAAUUAUGCAUUUGUAUCAUCCCGGCACCGGUGGUGGCCGGGAUGGGUUGUUUAUUGACGUCUAUGGGUUUUUUUCGGUGAGUACUAUGCCUUCUAGGUAGGUUAAUGAUUUUGGGGCUAGGUGAUGUUGGUGUUAUGUGCCAUUUCACCAUCGUACUUCUUGUUGACAUUCUUGUCUAGCUGCUUCUUCAAUCACAUAAAGGGUUUUGAAACGAUUCGAAGAAGGAACAAAAUUUGGUAUAUGUUAAAAGUACAAAAUAGUCCCGAGAUGAAUGCAUUUUGGAAAUUUUGUACCGAUCUGAGUUUUUGUUCCAGCAGAGAGAGAGAGAGAGAGAGAGAGAGAGAGAGAGAGAGAGAGANAGAGAGAGAGAGAGAGAGAGAGAGAGAGAGUAUGUGGCCCUCUUUUAUAUUUUUAGUUAUUAAAUUAUUAAAACAAAUAUUAAAAAUGUAAAAAUAAAAAUAAAAGGUAUAAUAGUCAUUUUAAUUUUUGGAGGGACCAAAACCACAUACAAACUAAGUUAAAAGGACCAUGAAGCCAAAAAAAUCGAGGUUUGGACUAAACCUCAGAAAAAAUACAUACCACAUGACCAUUUUUGCAGUUUUGUCUUGUUAUUAUUAUCAGAAAUUAAACACCCUACUAUUAUUAUUAUUAUUAUUUAACAAAUUCAUGUUUCUUGAAACCCAUUUCAUCCUUUUGAUUCGUGUGUAUCACCUUUAAUAAAAUAUAAAUAAAUAAAUAACCGUUUCACCUUUUGAUUAAAUUUGAUCAAAUUCAAGUUUCUUUAAAUCCUAUUUCACCCUUUUGAUUUAUGUGUUUGUGUGCAUAAAUUAUCUUGACAACAAAAUUGAUGUUUAUUAUUUACUUAUUUCUGAUUUUUAUUUUGUGUGUAUCAAUUAUGGUUUGUAUGAAAUAAAUAAAAUUGUGAGGCCGGACUAGUGUCCAGCCCAAUAGAGAUGGACUUAGACUAAUUCACAACCCAAUCAUAUAUUAAAAAAUUAAUUUCUUUCUUUUCUACGUCUACGACUUAAUUAAAUCCAAUCUUUUUACUCCCAUUACAAAUCCAAUCCAAUUCUAUAUUAAAAAUUAUAUAUAUAUAUCGUAGAGAAAAAUUAAUCACAUAUUUUGAUAUACUUUAUUUAUUUUUUACUCAAAAUAAAAAACAAUUACUAACAAAAUUAGUUUUAAUUACAAAAGUAAUUUAACUCCGCCACUAAAUAAUAUUAUUAAAAAGAGGUGAGCUUUGGUGAUCUUGGGUUGUGUAUGCCGCUUAGGUUACCAAAUAUCUUUUAGUUUUGAUUUUCUUUUAAUUUAUAGAUGGUGAGCGACUCACCAAAAUCACCCCAAUGGUGGUAGUCUUAUUAGGACCAAGUAUGAAUGUACGAUGUUAUAAACGUCUGUUCUAAACAUGAGGUGCAACAUUCUAAUGCAAAAGAAACAAGUGUAAAAUUACUCAUAUACCCUUACCAUCUGGAUGUUAUCCAUUUGGGGCCUCACUUAACCUUCGUUUCACAAAUUUAAAAUUUUACUCUUAUUAUCUCAGUAACUGUUUCUAAACAUAAGAUCGUUUCUGAAGUUGAUUUACAUAAAGAGAAAAAGACUAAAUUGCCCUCGGCAUCUAUAAAGAUUCUAUCACCUUCUAUUCUUGCUCAUCCUGACCAAGAGUUACAAGCAUGUAAAGCCAUAUAAAAUAAUCAUAUACUUACCAAGUGCAAAACAACAAAACAAAGGUGUCAGUUCCUAUAGGAUGAUGUACCAUGGAGUUAUAUCAAGAUGUACAACCUCUUAAUGCAUGGUAUCCAAGGAAAGGGCAAAAUCACCAAAUUACCCUUGAUUACAAUUUGUGGAGAAAUCUUGAUGCACAAAUCCACAAUGUGACUGGAAUCCUACGGUUUGAACGCAAAAACAAGGCUGAAAUAAUGUCAUAAGAAAAUCUAUGAACCUCAGGAUUCAAUGCCAUGCGUAUCAGCAUAGCUGUCCAUACAUCCGGUGCCAUUUUCACAGCUUGCCAAAAAUAAGAAAUUCCACUAACUACCCUUUCAAUAGUUGCAUGCCCCUGUAAACAAAAAUACAAACAAACAACAAUCACACAACAAUAAAAUAAAAUAAAAUAAAAAAAUAAAAUAAUAAUUUGAUAAAACCAACCUCUGAUUCAAUCGUAUGCCUUGUAUCAAGAUUCUCAUCAAACAUACAAGAAUCAACUUGAUCAUCAAGAAAAAUAUCUGCAACUUUUAGUAUAUCACGAACGAUAAAAAGUCGCACUCUGAAACCCUUUUCAGAUAAAAUAAACUUAAAAAGAUCUUCUGUAGCAGAAACAACAGCAUUCAUGUCAAAAGACUUCCACUCAAGUGGACUUGAGGACUUAUUAGCAUCCUUAUCUUCUCCAUCUGUCUUUUCAGAUAUAGACAUUGCCGCCACCUGUAUGUACCCCACCACACCAAAACAUCUGUCAGUACAGAUAACAUGACAUGACAUGACAGAACAGAUUGUACUGUGUUUACCAUACCAGGCGUUCUAGGCGAUUCCAUCGUAUGGAACCGUCAUUACAGAUAAGGAGUUCUCUUAAGAUUUUUCUCAUGUCGGGACUGGGGUCCGCAAGAAGUCGUCCAAUCACAAAAGGGUAUGCGCUUUCAACAACUUUAAAUUCAGGGUCUAAUGUCUUUGCUGUCCCUUCAAGUGAUCCCAAUGCUCUUAUCACCAAUGCAUAGUCAGGUGGAAGAGAGAAGUUGAAUUCAUACAUAACAUCAUAAAGUUGGUUCAUUAUCGCCUGCCAUUUUUUUCAAAAAAAAAAACUCAAAUCUCCACUCAACCAGUUAUACACCAAAACCCUAAACCCUAAAAAGGGAACCUGAAAAUCUUGGGAUUGUCGGGUGCCAUCACCAAAAGAUAAUUUAAGUGCAUCUGCAACUGAAAGCAUAUCGGUUCCUUCUGGAAUGAAUCCAAGUGAGAGAAAAUCAUUGGCUAAACCCAAAGAGUCACGGUUGACAAAGUGUACAAGCUGAUCAACAUUAUCACAAGACAAAAAAAAUGUUGAUUAAAAAGUCAAGACAUAAUCACAUGCUUGCUUUUUUAAGGUAUGAGAUUAAAAAAAAAUGCAGAGAUAUUUUAUAUUUACCACUUGGAUAAGUCCAACACGAUAGUGACGUGGAAUGUCACCCAUCAUCCCAAAGUCAAAGUAAGCAAGAGCACCAUCUUUAGUGGCAACAAGAUUACCCGGAUGAGGAUCCGCAUGAAAAAAACCCACUUCAAGUAAUUGCAUCAACGAACAAUACAAUCCCUAAAACCCAAACUCAACUUAUUAUUUAAAACUUUAAUUCAAGAAAAAACAACAACUAUCAAUCUGUCAUACCUUAUCUAUCAGUUCUUUUCGGUUUAAAUCAAAUGUCUUUAAUGCAGCUUCAUUAUUAAGCUUAAUACCAUCAAUCCAUUCCAUUGUAAGCACAGCUUUUCGGGUAAAGUUCCAGUAUAUUUUUGGAACUUUAACCCAUCUUUCUUCCUUCAUAGAAGUUUCCACCUCUUUGGCUGCAAUAAUCGUAAAAAAAAUAUACAUAUAUUCUUUUUCAGUUUGGUUUACAAGUUUUUAACUAUGAAGAUCAGUAAAUAACUUACUGGAGCGAAAACCAUAAAGAGAAUCGAAUCUUUCAGCAUUUUGUCCUUCAAGUAUGUAAUCGAUUUCUUCAAACAUGUGCCUCACCUAUUCAAUCAGAAUCUUGGGUAAUUCAUUUUGGAACAAUCCUGUUAUUUUUAAUUAAUUUUUUUUUAGAAGACUCACUGUUUCAUUAACUGCUACUAUUAUAUCCUUCCUUGCUUUGGCAAAUCGCUUUAAUUGGCCCCCAAUCAUGUUAAAUAACAAGGCAUCAAGGGUCAAAGAGAGUGACAUACCAGGUCUUUGUACCUUUACAGCUACUAGCUCCCCUGUAUGCAAAUGAGCUGCAAAACUUGAAGUAAACAUCAAAGCCUAUUACAUUUUUGACAUACUGACUUUUCAAAAUUGAAAACAAUUUUAAUAUCUAAUAACCUUUAUACACUUGUCCUAAAGAUGCUGCAGCCAUAGGUUCUGGGCUGAUGUCUGAAAAAAUUUCUGAAAUAGGAACACCCAACUGGGAUUCAAUAGAACGAAUCGCAACCUUGGUUGAAAAUGGAGGUAUUUGAUCCUGGUUGACAAUAAGUUGUAACAAAUGUUAAUCAUAAGUUGUAAAGAAUCAAACUUUAAUUCUUGGAAGUUCUAACUAUAGUUGUAAAAAAUUGGUACCUGUAGUUUAGCAAGUUCAUUACAAUAUACAGAAGGCAGAAUAUCUGGUCUUGUGCUUAAGGCUUGUCCUAACUGUUGGUCAAAACAAAAUAAAGUCAAUGAGACUGUAUUCUAUUUCUAUAGUCUAUACAAAUUGUGGAGAUGAUUAAUAAAUAAUACAAAAAGAGGACUUGCCUUGAUAUAAAAGGGACCCAAGCGGAUGAGGGUGUCACAAAACUGCAUCAAUUAGAAUAAAGUCAUUGUUGUUUUAAAUUUGAAGCCACUAACGAAAUGACUUUUUCUUUGUUACAAUUAGCAAACCAUGCAGAAAUGAAUUAAGGAAAGAAAAAGGAUAUGUUGAUGUAACCUUUGCUGAGCGUUUUUUAAUGUCAUGAACAAAAAAAUGAGCCAAAGUAAGCUUGAAGACCUCGUAUGAAAUAUAUGCUGCUCUAUACAAUGCUAAAAAAGGGCCAAAACUGUAGUACAUGGAGAGACGUUUGGACCUAGAAGUAAGUGCAUUUCCAAAUUCACUUUCCAGUGAUUCUUUCCUCAAUUUGGCAUACUCUGCUGAUGGCUUCUCGCCAUGAACACUAGAGAAUCUUGUGGAAAAACUGCAUGAAACUAAUUAUAAAUCAACAUGAACUUAAUACACUCCAUACACUCUUUAAUUCUGAAAGCAAAAAACACACGUAUAAGCAACAAAGAGACAGCUUGCCUUCUGCAGGGAACAGCCCCAAAUGAACGACCAUUGUGGAAAGCUGUAAAGGGGGAAAGGAGAAUCAAUACGGUUUAUCCAGAAGUUUGAUAUGUUUAUCAAUUUUGGUAGGAAACAAAACCAUUUAUCCAUAAUCAGACUAGACGGCAUGAGAUUGGAUCGAAUCAAAUACAAAACAGAUAGCCAAAAUAUAGAUAAAAUGUACUUCAAUGGAUGUGAAGAGGAAUUCUGCAAAAUUGCUCUUCAUACAAGAAUAUAUUGCCAAUGUUAACGUUAUAAGGCCUAAGUUAUGAGCCUUUUUUGUAAGCUGAUACCAUAAGCAAAGCCAAAAAGAGAGGUAAAAUACACUUCAUUCGAUAUAUGGCAAAUUCAACAAACCGUUCCUCAUAAUAUGAAUAUAACAACGGUUCCCACAGAUCAAGUAUUCGAAAAAUGCGAAUAAUGAGUUGAAUUAGACCUGUGCAUUGGCCUUCUUUGAAAUUAGAAAAAAUUUCGUAAUUUUCAUUUUUUCAGAAGAAGCAGUGAAUGAAAAUUGAUGAAAUUAAAGGGGAAAAGGAAACCUACGCAUACCUCUUCGUUUAAUUACUGCAAAAACUUGCCGGUUCAAAGAUGCAACCGCAUUAUCCCUCAUCGGUGGAAGAUGAUUGGGUUAAAGGGGCUAAUACUAACGACGGUGAAUAGGAAAGUGGGAAGAGAAUGUGAGAAUAAUGAUCGAAGGGAAAGAGCUACAGCAAGUUUGGUGAAACGGUGGUCGGAGGCGGUUGGGUUGAGGGGGGUUGAGGCUAGAGGUAGUGACACGUUAGGAACCAGGUGGCCUCCUGUGAGCAGUGAGGAGGAGACAUGGAGUAUUCUUGCCCAUUCUUACCCCUGAACCCACUUCUAAGAAGCCGGAUAAGGGGUGUUUUGAUUCGGGUUAAGGCGAU